AUUGAACGCUGGCGGAAUGCUUUACACAUGCAAGUCGAACGGCAGCACGGACUUCGGUCUGGUGGCGAGUGGCGAACGGGUGAGUAAUGUAUCGGAACGUGCCCAGUCGUGGGGGAUAACGUAGUGAAAAUUGCGCUAAUACCGCAUACGAUCUAUGGAUGAAAGCGGGGGAUCGCAAGACCUCGCGCGAUUGGAGCGGCCGAUAUCAGAUUAGGUAGUUGGUGGGGUAAAGGCCCACCAAGCCAACGAUCUGUAGCUGGUCUGAGAGGACGCGCAGCCACACUGGAACUGGGACACGGUCCAGACUCCUACGGGAGGCAGCAGUGGGGAAUUUUGGACAAUGGGCGAAAGCCUGAUCCAGCCAUUCCGCGUGCAGGAUGAAGGCCCUCGGGUUGUAAACUGCUUUUGUACAGAACGAAAAGGUUUCUACUAAUACUAGGAGCUCAUGACGGUACUGUAAGAAUAAGCACCGGCUAACUACGUGCCAGCCGCCGCGGUAA
rnacentral:rRNA from 1 species